UGAGUAAUUUCUCGAAGCAAACAAUCCUUUCUCUGUCCUUAGCAUCAAAUCCAGUACACCAGCACCAUUCACCCAGCGCACCAUCCAUCACAACAGGGAAAACUGGAGUGAAAGGGCAAAUCUGUAUGAAAUAGAGGCAGCAAAAUGAGUAAGCUAAACUCGGAAUUGGAUUUGGAUCGACCUAAUAUUGAAGACUAUCUCCCUUCUGGAUCCAUCCAAGAGCCUCGCGGCAAACUACGCCUGCGUGAUUUGCUCGACAUUUCGCCCACUCUAACUGAGGCAGCUGGUGCCAUUGUCGAU